UCUCUUCCGAUCUGUUUCUUUCCACCAAUCUUUUCACUGCCAACUCGCCCCCACUUUCGAAAUACAUAGCAUUCACUCCCAUCAUCCUCUUCGAUGAUCUGAAGUAUAUAGUAGCU